UUGACCAAAGCACAAUGCUAUAACCAACAAUGUGUUCCAGCAACUGUGUGGCAACUGUGUGAUCUGGGCAAGGAGGGGUGUGGUGACAAGACUCCUCCCUCUGAAGGCAGAUGGCAUGGUCCCACCCCACACUGUUUGUCAAUGGCCUCCUGGGCUUGUAACCAGUAUAGCACCUUCUAUGCUGACUAAGGGUAAAGAGUGGUCCCUCGGGACCUCCGUGGAAAAGUGGAAACCUCUCCAUGGCUCCCACUGAGCUAGGGCUACAAUGUUUCUACCUUUUGGGUGCUUUGCAGGCAGCUUCCCGGCCAGCUCCUGCCCACAGGCGAGCACAGCCAGAAGGAUUACUUACUGAUACAUCUUUGCCCAUGCUCCAGUAAGCAGCCCUAAUGAGACCUCUUGGGUCAUUGAAAAGAAUGUAGAGAAGUAGAGGAGAGGUUACUUGGCAAGAGGCUCGGGAGCAGGGGCGGGGGAGAGAAUAGAUGAAGGUUGUAGGGUAUUGAUUUGAAUGUGAUAUACGGUGUACUAAACGUCAUCAUGAAACUCACCGUUAUGGCAUAAUUAAUACACAUUAAUAAAACUUUUUUUUUCAAAAGACACCACAGAGUCAGUUAUCCAGACUAACUGUAUAAUGAAUUUAACCAGAUAAUCUUAAGAAAACCACCACAAUGAUCAGCAACUGUGUUUCCUCUCUGGCCCCAUGCCUUCCCUCCCUGUUUGGGAACUGAGAAUCCAUUCAGUGAGGUUUUGGGGGUAGAUAGCCUGGCCCGUGCAAAGAAGCUUCAGCUAUGUAACUGUUCAUCACCUUUCGGAUUAAAAAUAACCAGCAUGUAUGCAGCCUGGGUCCCUGUACAGUCACAUGGAAACACAGCCUAUCGUCCUGCCUGCUGAGGGAUUAGUAUUCACUUUGAGGGCUCUGAGCUACCAGCUUCUGUCAAGCCAGCAGCCUGGCCAGUGCAUGGCCAUGCAACCAGUCAUGGAUGCUGUGUUUGGAACAUGCCUCGGUUCUCAUAAGCUACACAGAUCUGUCCUCAGGUGUGGCGCUACCACCUUUCCUGGCAUCCUUCCCCAGCACUGCAUAGUGAAGGACUUAGAACCAAGUCAUAGGGUGAGGUAAGGAAUCCAACUCUUUCCUGAGUGGUCAAAGAAGAGAGCUCAGAGGAGCUUUCAGCUAGGACCUCGGCUGGAAAACAAAAACACCCCCUCUCCACUGUCAUGUGUGGGUUCUAGGCAAUAAUUCAGCAACCAGGCUUUCUGUUGCUAGAACUGUUUGGAAUAGUCCUAAACUUAGGCAAAUGGGCUCUAGACUGACUGCUCAGUGAAGUCUAGAAUACUUCAGAAGGGGCUGCUGGUGGUCUACACCAGAGAGUGGAUCCUACAUGAGUGAUCAGAGGGAAUGGAGAGGGGCAUCCCAUGUUUCCAGGUUUUCUCAUUAUUCAAUUAUCUAUCUGUCCAUCUAUCUAUUUGUCCAUCCAUCUCUGUCUGUCUGUCUAUCUAUCUGUCUAUCUAAUCUCCCUCCUUUCCUUCCUCCCUCUAUCCCUCCAUCCUCCUCUUUCUCCUCUCUGUUGAAUUAGCAAGAAAAUAACCUAGAAAGGGGAAGCUGUAGUGGGAGUUCCUAAACAGGAAGAAAAGUAAGAAAUCGUUUGAUUUCCUCUGGUAUUAUCUUCAUGUGAAAUUCUAGGAGACUCAACCAGGAGGUCCAGUUUUCCCUCACCAGUCAAGCCAAAUGCAGACAGGUCGACAAGCCAUGGGCUGUUCAAAUGCGGGCAGGAAAAAUUGGGUUCGUGAGCUCCACAGAAAGGAUGCCCACCUCCUGUGUUUUAAUCCAGCUCUACUGGUCCAGGUUAACACCCAACCAGAGGUCACCAUCCAUGCCACUGCGAAUAAAGUCAGAGAUGAAAGCUGUCUCAGGGGCCAGCCACGAGCCACGACUCCUGAAGGCUACCCUCGGAAUUCCAGAGCUGGGAGGGGAUCUGGUUCGCUCUGCUCUCAUCUUUUCUCUACAAUGAGAGGUUUGGGCACAGAAAGAAACAUUCAAAGGGCAAGGCGCAGAAUCGCCCAUGGGAUUCAUGGGAAAGGCCUUCCAAAGCGGAGAAGCUCAGCGUUCCAACAGCUACAGAAAGGCUGGUGAACGAAGAAUUCCUUCCUGGGUGGACAGGAUCAUCCUGAAGAAAACCUGAACCUGACACAUGGUCAGAAGACUACACAGAUAGGGGCACAGAGUUCUAUGUAACGGAGGGGACAGCAGAUACGAUGAAAACUGUACCAGGAGCCUAGGGAGAUGGCUCAGCGAGUGAAGCGUUUGCUACUCAAGUGUGAGCACCCAUGUUCAGGUCUCCAGAAUCUCCUCCAGACUCAGUGGCACACCUGCCUGCACUUCCACUACAGCGAGAUGGAUGACGGGAAACAGGAUACCAGAAGAAGGCAUCAAAUGCCAUGGGACUGGAGUUACAGAUGGUCGUGAGCUACCAUGGGUGCUCAGAAUUGAACCUGGAUCCUUUGGAAGAACACCCCAGUGAUCUUAAUGGCUGAGCCUCCACCAGUCCCUGAACCCAGGGCUGGAAGUGCAGAAAUGGAUAAAUAGGACUCUCAGCUCAGAAGCAUUCUGUCUGCCGAGAGGAAAGCGUAGAGGUGGGUACAGAGUAGACUGUGUUCUUGGAGCACAGAGAAGA